AUUGACUUGGCAGAAUAAAUGCGCUUGAUUUAGGAUCAAGUCAUAAUAAGAUAUAUUAGUCGUUA
rnacentral:tRNA from 1 species